GGAACAGGAAGCUCAAGCAGUGGAACAUUUGAGUUGCUGGUACUUAGCGCCGGUGAACUCUGACCCUAAACAUAAUCUUUAUUUAUUAUAUACAUUAUACGUACAUACAUUAUACAUACAUGGAACGUUUACACAUAGUAUUAUAUAAUUGGAAUACAGUUUGAUAUACACAUCUGCAAGUUCAAAUCCCCGAGCUACCAAGAUACAGAUCUGUCGUUCUGACCCUGAACAGGUAGUUAACCCACUGUUCCUAGGCCGUCAUUGAAAAUAAGAAUUUGUUCUUAACUCACUUGCCUAGUUAAAUAAAUUACACAUAAAAUGGUACUCAUCAUUAUUCUUGCAAUAAGUCCCGUGGGAUCUUUAGUGACCACAGAGUAAGGACACCUGUUUAAAGUCCCAUCUUCUUCCAUUUGAUUGAGGAACAUGCUAGCAGCAGAUACCCAUAGACUUCCAGUCAUUGCGCUAAUGCUAGUUAGCAUUGGCUUGCGAAACUACUAACUUCCUUCAUACUGGACACAGAAACAUUAAAAUUGUAUCCCACGAGUUCAUCAGCCUCUUGGGUAAUAGAUAAAGGACAUCAUUGCCAAAAGGUUAUGGUCUGUGGUUUGUCUGUUUCCCCGGGUGGCAUUCGUAUACGUUUUCGUGCCCACAACUUGAAACGGAACACCAUUGAAUCGGGAGCCUUCUACUCUCUCAGCUGAGUUGUUUUCCUGAGACAGAGAUAUUAGAAUGGUAUCCCACGACUUCCUCAGCCUCUUGGGUAAUAGAUAAAGGACAUCUGAGCCUACUAGCUGAGUUUUUUUUCUCCUGAGCCUACUAGCUGAGUUGUUGUUUUUUUCCUGAGCCUACUAGCUGAGUUUUUUUUUUUCCUGAGCCUACUAGCUGAGUUUUUUUUUUUUUUUCCUGAGCCUCUAGCUGAGUUGUUUUUUUUUUCCUGAGCCUACUAGCUGAGUUUUUUUUUUUUCCUGAGCCUACUAGCUGAGUUUUUUUUUUUCCUGAGCCUACUAGCUGAGUUGUUUUUUUUUUUUCCUGAGCCUACUAGCUGAGUUGGUUUUUUUUUUCCUGAGCCUACUAGCUGAGUUUUUUUUUUUCUUCCUGAGCCUACUAGCUGUUUUUUUUCUUCCUGAGCCUACUAGCUGAGUUUUUUUUUUUCUGAGCCUACUAGCUGAGGUUUUUUUUUCCUGAGCCUACUAGCUGAGUUGUUUUUUUUUUCCUGAGCCUACUAGCUGAGUUGUUUUUUUUCCUGAGCCUACUAGCUGAGUUGUUUUUUUUCCUGAGCCUACUAGCUGAGUUGUUUUCCUGCCGAAGGCUGUGCAUUUGUUGAAGGUCAAAAAUGUGUUAUUACUAUUUAACAAUGUUGCUCUGUCAAAUAGAAUAACACUCCCUUUUUGGACUCUCGACUGAAUUUUGGAUUUCCAACAAAAAUCUCUCGACCCCAAAAAACAAUGUUUACAUGUUUUAUUUGGCGCUGUGGCAGUCAAUUGAAAAACAUUCUAACAGUAUUUCUGAUUGUCUUCUCGAGAUUCCGAGGUGGAUGACCGUUCAAAUCGGGUUUUUUUCCUCAGUCGGAGCUCGCUUAUGUUUCAGUUCCCAGUUGUCUUGAAUGCGCUGAAGUCGGAAGGCAGAGAUUUCCCGAGUUCCCAAAUGUUUUGAAUGCGGCAUUAAUGUUCAGUGUGCCAUGGUAUUUUCCCUUUUGAGUCAUCAACCUAAACUCCUCAGUAGUGACCCGUGAAUUAAUUUGGUCACAUGACAGCUCAAUCAGCUGUUCGAUUUCACUUACCAGCAUGUCAACUGAGCCAGAAUCACAGUCAAACGGUUUAGGAAGUCGGUUCCCAAAGUUCUCUUCCAAGUGUAUGAGGUGAGUAGUCAUCACUCGUGCGGGACACUUACUGAUGCUCUUUUCUGUUUAGAGACAUGCACAGCCGAGAAGGUAGGAAGGGGUCUCUUUUGAAAGUCCAGUAAGAACUGGAACCCCCCCCCCGAUAACCACCAAGCCUUGGUGUGAAAUAGAACAGGGUCAUCCCCUGAUCCCAUUUCUCCACAUAGUUUUGCGAUAAGUCUGCGCGCGCAGUGGAUGUGGUUUGAGUCGCUACCUGCUGCAUGGUGUCUCCCGCGUUCUCAGAGCUCAGCACUUUUGCUGCCAGAUGCUCAAGAUACGCGACAUGGGAUCUUUUUGUGUCAAUAAAAUGAAUUAGCUUAUGCGAGAUAUAUCUCGGUGGAAACGCUUGUAUGCGCAAAUAUUGAUAUAAUAACAAUAAUUUCGAAGUACAUUUUGGAGUGACGCGAUGACAUGUUGUGUGGUUCUCCCCACUACGACUGAUCAGGAAAGCGUGCAGUUUCUUAGACUACAGAUUAAAUACAUUAAGGUGAUAAACUCGAUGCUCCUUUCCAAUAAAUAUCGAAGGUGUUAUUCUGGUGACAGGAUAAUCGAUGCUUGGCUGCCGAUUGUCCAUAAUAAUAAUGUAAUCGUAUAGGUUAUUUGUGCACAACGAGACAACAGUGCGCAGAUAGCCCUGUUGCCUCGAGCGCGCACGUGCCAAUACCAGAGUGACCACGCUCGCUAUGUAACGCAAACGCGUUUUGUGAGAGAACCAUCAGAAAGAGUUGAAAAAUGACAUGGAAAACACAUUUAACUUGUUGUUUUUUAAAAUUCGCUACAUGGGAAUUUAACCGCAAAAGGUUAUUUCUCUGAGCACUACGUAUGCGUCAUCACACUCCCUCUCGCCUGAUUGGUCGAGUAGGCGGGCCUUCUGACUUUGUGGCUGUGAUAACUAGUGAGACCCGCUCAUCUUCGUUGGAUAACAGAUGGUAUGAAAGGUGAGGACUCGUUUCCCCUCUGACCUAUCCCUAUUACCCUUCCCAUUGGACUGGCCCUCUAUUAUCUCAUUGAGAGCUCUCUGCACCAAUCAGAAGAGACUACUUGUUAAGAGCGGCGAGGGGCCAAAAACGGGAAAACGCAUGAGCACCGUCCGUUCUGCGGCUGUUUGGAAAACUGAAAGCUGGUACGUUUAUAGAAGGGAGAUCGACGGAGGGAGGCAAACAUUAAAAAGACAAAGCAGGUGUAGAGAGGUCGUUGGGAGGACAGAGAAAGGGGAGAGAACAGACUCAAAGAAAGCUAAUUAGCAUUUAUCUAUUUGUAAUACUGAGAAAAAAGGGUAAUUUAGAUGUAACAAUAUAUUACACUGAGUUCACCAUCCUGCAGAGAAAUGUGUGUAUUGGCCCUUGUGGUUCGAGUGUCGGGGG
ensembl:lncRNA